rnacentral:tRNA from 1 species
CAGCCCCGAAGUGUAUGCACGUCGAAUUGCAAAUUCGAAAAAGUUCCCCAAAGGGUACCUGGGCU